UAUUAUAUUUAGGCUCAUAGGCCUAUAUACUCUAUAGCUUAGGCUAUAUACUAUAGACUAUAUAUUAUAUACCAAUAUUGUGCAUAAAACUUAAAGCAUGUAAGCAUACACAAUAAUAAUUAUCAUUAGACCUAUAGUAACUUAGACUCGUACUAUUUAGUACUACUUUAAUACUACCUUUAAACUAUUAGGCAUAAUGAAAUAAUGAUUAAUGAUUUCAGUGUUUUCCGCACUCGAGAGGAAAGAGGUUGCAGGGAACUUAGAGACUAAUCUUUGCCAACAUACUGGAUUUCUGGUGAUGACAAUAGCAGCAGAUAGUAUGCGGCUCAGUUAAUACUAAAAACAAUUGAUUUUAGUAAUUAGUGGACUAUGAGUGUGUGUUUGGCCAUCCAGAUUUCAUAACUACAACUGAUGUUCAAUUACAAGGGAUAUUAAUCAGUCUCCGUGGACUAUACACUGUGCCUAGUUUCAUCCUCAGAGACUGAUGUGUAAGCUUAAAGUAAAGACAUCAAAUCAAAGUAUCAGCCAUCAAGAGGAAAAACAUUCAAAAUCAUAUUGUGAUACACAAGUCAAGCAAGUCUGACCAGCAUUUUGAUACAGGCCAAGAAAAAGCUGGAUACUUGAUUGGAAGGGUCGCACAAAAAAAAUGAGUUAUCACUAGGGAAACAAUCUCGCAAUACAGUUCACUGUUAGGACAGCAAGCCAAAUACUUCUAAACUUAUUUGAAUCAUUUUUGCUGUUUAUUAUAAUUCAUCCAAUUGUCUUAUUAAAUAUAUAAAUUUAUAUAUAUACACAAUUCCUAAUAUAGAAUUUCUAAAAAUGUUUUAUUAUAAUAUUUAAAAAUGAAACAAACAUGUUCCCAUAACACAGCCACAUAAUGUCAACAUGUUCCCAGAACACAGCCACAUAAUGUCAACAUGUUCCCAGAACACAGCCACAUAAUGUCAACAUGUUCCCAGAACACACAAAAUGGCAACAUGUUCCCAGAACACACAAAAUGGCAACAUGUUCCCAGAACACAGCCAAAUAAUGUCAACAUGUUCCUGAACUCACAAAAUGGCAACAUGUUCCCAGAACACACAAAAUGGCAACAUGUUCCCAGAACACACAAAAUGGCAACAUGUUCCCAGAA